rnacentral:rRNA from 1 species
GACGAACGCUGGCGGCGUGCCUAAUACAUGCAAGUCGAACGAACCGCGACUAGGUGCUUGCACUUGGUCAAGGUGAGUGGCGAACGGGUGAGUAACACGUGGGUAACCUACCUCAUAGUGGGGGAUAACAGUCGGAAACGACUGCUAAUACCGCAUAGGACAUAGGAUAACAUGAUCCAGUGAGGAAAGGUGGCGCAAGCUAUCGCUAAGAGAUGGACCCGCGGUGCAUUAGCUAGUUGGUAGGGUAAAGGCCUACCAAGGCGAUGAUGCAUAGCCGACCUGAGAGGGUGAUCGGCCACAUUGGGACUGAGACACGGCCCAAACUCCUACGGGAGGCAGCAGUAGGGAAUCUUCCGCAAUGGACGCAAGUCUGACGGAGCAACGCCGCGUGAGUGAAGAAGGUCUUCGGAUCGUAAAGCUCUGUUGUUAGAGAAGAACAGCGCAUAGAGUAACUGUUAUGCGUGUGACGGUAUCUAACCAGAAAGCCACGGCUAACUACGUG